GUGUCAGCAGCCGCGGUAAUACGUAGGGGGCAAGCGUUGUCCGGAUUUACUGGGCGUAAAGCGCGCGUAGGCGGAGCGGCAAGUCCGGUCUGAAAGCCCCCGGCUCAACCGGGGAGGGUGGCUGGAAACUGCCGUUCUUGAGGGCGAGAGAGGAGGGUGGAAUUCCUGGUGUAGCGGUGAAAUGCGUAGAGAUCAGGAGGAACACCCGUGGCGAAGGCGGCCCUCUGGCUCGACCCUGACGCUGAGGCGCGAAAGCGUGGGGAGCGAACGGGAUUAGAUACCCCCGUAGUCC
rnacentral:rRNA from 1 species